UACGUAGGUGGCAAGCGUUGUCCGGAAUUAUUGGGCGUAAAGGAUGCGUAGGCGGUCCUUUAAGUGGGAUGUGAAAUCCCUGGGCUUAACCCAGGAAUUGCAUUCCAAACUGGAGGACUAGAGUGCAGGAGAGGAAAGUGGAAUUCCCAGUGUAGCGGUGAAAUGCGUAGAGAUUGGGAGGAACACCAGUGGCGAAGGCGGCUUUCUGGACUGUAACUGACGAUGAGGCAUGAAAGCGUGGGGAGCAAACAGG
rnacentral:rRNA from 1 species